ensembl:lncRNA novel transcript
CAGCAUUUCUGUUGGCAACAGCCCUUCCCAUAGCCACAGCCACACGAGCCGCAGGUGCGGCGGCAGCAGCAGAUCACGGGAGUGCUGCAGCAGCCUCCACAGCAGCCGCGGCAGCAGGGGCAGCAGCUGGAGCAGCAGCCCACCCGGUAGCACCUGCAGGUGGUGCAGCUGCCACAGCCACCACCACAGCCACCACCGCAGCCACCACCGCAGCCACCACUGCAGCCACCACCACAGCCACCACCGCAGCGGCCACCACAGCCACCACAACUUCCACAACCACAGCAACCCAUGGUGUCAGUAGAGGACUCAGAUUAAAAGCAAGCCAAGAGAUGCUAACAUGUAGGAGAGGAUCUUCAUUUACUCAGAAACCACUUGAAUCCUUGAGACUUCGGGUUAAGCCGGAACCCAAGGUGGCUGCCAGCUGCUUUUCCAUCUCUCUGCCAUGGCUUCUCUCCAGGAAAUCACCCUGCUUUCAUGGAAAUUCCCGAGAUGCAAAAGAGUAAAUAAGAGCAUCCAAAUAAAACAUGUCAUUUUUGC